AGAGUUUGAUCCUGGCUCAGAUUGAACGCUGGCGGCAUGCCUUACACAUGCAAGUCGAACGGCAGCACGGGAGCAAUCCUGGUGGCGAGUGGCGAACGGGUGAGUAAUAUAUCGGAACGUGCCCAGUAAUGGGGGAUAGCCCGGCGAAAGCCGGAUUAAUACCGCAUACGACCUACGGGUGAAAGCGGGGGAUCGCAAGACCUCGCGUUAUUGGAGCGGCCGAUAUCAGAUUAGCUAGUUGGCGGGGUAAAAGCCCACCAAGGCGACGAUCUGUAGCUGGUCUGAGAGGACGACCAGCCACACUGGGACUGAGACACGGCCCAGACUCCUACGGGAGGCAGCAGUGGGGAAUUUUGGACAAUGGGCGCAAGCCUGAUCCAGCCAUGCCGCGUGUGGGAAGAAGGCCUUCGGGUUGUAAACCACUUUUGUCAGGGAAGAAACGGUUUCCAAUAACACUGGGAACUAAUGACGGUACCUGAAGAAUAAGCACCGGCUAACUACGUGCCAGCAGCCGCGGCAAUACGUAGGGUGCAAGCGUUAAUCGGAAUUACUGGGCGUAAAGCGUGCGCAGGCGGCUUUGCAAGACAGAUGUGAAAUCCCCGGGCUCAACCUGGGAACUGCAUUUGUGACUGCAUGGCUAGAGUACGGUAGAGGGGGAUGGAAUUCCGCGUGUAGCAGUGAAAUGCGUAGAUAUGCGGAGGAACACCGAUGGCGAAGGCAAUCCCCUGGACCUGUACUGACGCUCAUGCACGAAAGCGUGGGGAGCAAACAGGAUUAGAUACCCUGGUAGUCCACGCCCUAAACGAUGUCAACUGGUUGUUGGACGGCUUGCUGUUCAGUAACGAAGCUAACGCGUGAAGUUGACCGCCUGGGGAGUACGGCCGCAAGGUUGAAACCCAAAGGAAUUGACGGGGACCCGCACAAGCGGUGGAUGAUGUGGUUUAAUUCGAUGCAACGCGAAAAACCUUACCUACCCUUGACAUGUCUAGAAGUUUCCAGAGAUGGAUUCGUGCUCGAAAGAGAACUAGAACACAGGUGCUGUAUGGCCGUCGUCAGCUCGUGUCGUGAGAUGUUGGGUUAAGUCCCGCAACGAGCGCAACCCUUAUCAUUAGUUGCUACGCAAGGGCACUCUAAUGAGACUGCCGGUGACAAACCGGAGGAAGGUGGGGAUGACGUCAGGUCAUCAUGGCCCUUAUGGGUAGGGCUACACACGUCAUACAAUGGCCGGUACAGAGGGCUGCCAACCCGCGAGGGGGAGCUAAUCUCAGAAAACCGGUCGUAGUCCGGAUCGCAGUCUGCAACUCGACUGCGUGAAGUCGGAAUCGCUAGUAAUCGCGGAUCAGCUUGCCGCGGUGAAUACGUUCCCGGGUCUUGUACACACCGCCCGUC
rnacentral:rRNA from 1 species